AUACGGAGGAUGCAAGCGUUAUCCGGAUUUAUUGGGUUUAAAGGGUGCGUAGGCGGUUUGCUAAGCGGGAGGUGAAAUGCCGGCGCUCAACGUCGGAAGUGCCUCCCGAACUGGUGGACUUGAAUGACUCUGCCGUGGGAGGAAUGUGUAGUGUAGCGGUGAAAUGCUUAGAGAUUACACAGAACACCGAUUGCGAAGGCAUCUCACGAAGGGUUGAUUGACGCUGAGGCACGAAAGCGUGGGGAUCAAACAGGAUUAGAUACCCUGGUAGUCCACGCAGUAAACGAUGAUGGCUAACCGCUGGGCUUAUCAGUUCAGUGGCCAAGCGAAAGCGUUAAGCCAUCCACCUGGGGAGUACGACCGCAAGGUUGAAACUCAAAUGAAUUGACGGGG
rnacentral:rRNA from 1 species